ACAGAGACCCAUUGUAUGUCUGUCUAGGGACUUCCUGUCCUGAUGGGGGCAAAUCCAGUCAGUCAAUCUUGUUCAUGCAGUUGUCUGCCUUUCCUGUUGGGGCCACAUUUGGAGCGGAUAAGGGACAGGAGAAGAAAUGAAGGAAGGCGCACGAGAAGAGCCUGGAGAUGGAGAUGCUUUGCUGUUCCACGCUGCAGGGGUAACGGGUUUCCUCUCAGUAUUCCACGGCCAUGAUACUCUCUGCCUCUCCUCAUCUCUUGGGCUUCAGCCUGUCAAGGUGGGGAUGGGAAGGCUUGCAGAGCGCAUGGUAAGAGCUAAGCUGACACUGGAACCAUAGAGAGGCGGUGGGGGGAAACAGUGGACUGCAAACUGCUGACAUCGUUCCUCUUCUGGGUAUGCGGCAAGGAUCCCACAAAAGAAAAGCGGUGGGUGAGGCUGGAACCACAGGGGAGAAUCCAGCAGGGGGCGCUCUGCCAGCGGACCUGCCCUGCUUCCCUUGCCUGGAGCCCCCUCUGACCCUGUAGGAAGCGGACCUGCCCAGCUUCCCUUGCCCGGAGACCGUGUAGGAAGUGCCUUCUAUCAGGGUUUCCUGAGCGGAUGACACUUGCCCCUCCCUUGAUGGAUAGCCCCAUAGCUUUUUCUUGCCCCUAAUGUGGCCAGAUGUUCUCCCUAGGUCGCGUGGAGACACAGCAAAAAGGUCUGGGGCUCAGGAAACCAAGGGCUCUGAGCUGUCCUGGCUUUGUGCCUGAACAAAUAAAUCACUUGACUUUCUUAGGUCUUGGCUCGCUUUCUGUGAUAUGGGGAGCCUGUCAAGAUAUCUCAGGGUGGCAGGGGAUGGGACAUGGUGGGAAGGGGCAGCUGCUCACUGGCUAGUCGCCACCGUAAUUGUCACUGUUACCAGCAUAAAGGAAAGGCUUCUGGAGCCUUAGGGCCCAGAGGGAGGGAGGAAAGGGUUACGGGAGCAGAGGAUACCCCCUCCACACUUCCCUCUCUGUACCUGAGAGCCAAAGGAAAGAUCGGGAAGGUUUGGAAAGGCAGGAAAGCCGGACAGGCUCAGAGAAUAUAGGCUGGGUCUGGAAGAGCCUGCCCUUUUUCUCGGGGUCCUCCCCUUCCAGCUCUAUCCAUGGCCGGCAACUUCCUCCUAGGCUGUGCUAUUGUGGCAGCGGGCAUGUUUCUUUUUCAGUGUGUUUGGGAGGCAGGAUCAAGGUGGAGAAUCUCCAGUUACCAGCAUUCCUGAAACAGAUCCAAAAGAGGCCGGCCUGACAGAAGGCAGAGACACCCGCGGAAAGGGAGAGGGGCUAAAGGGGCUGGAGGACGGAGCUAAUCCAGCCUCCUUGGUCCAGUUUUAUAGUUGUUCCCAGGCCUUCUCUAGUGUCACCAAAAUGGAGUAGAGCCACUGUCUUCCCUGGGCUCAAGUUUGAGGACAAAGGUUAGAGAUCAGGGUGUGACCCCAGCCUUUACGAGUGUGCUCACAUCCUGAGCCCUAGGUUGGGUGGGCCUUUCAAAAGGCUUGUGUUGCCCCGAGGGCAGGAAAACUAAGGCUCCCCCUCCCAAAGAUCGGCCUUCUCCAUGUGUGUGAGAGUAUGCACAAAGCUGGGUCAUGUACUUCUACUAUCCUGCCUGGAGGAUCCCAGGCAGCUUGUGAGUUGUCUGUUAGACUAAGGACAGUGUGGCUCUAGGGCACAUGGAAUACAUUAUCUUCCCUAUUUUUCCAAUGAAGACAUCAAGGGUCAGAGAGGCCAAGCGACCUCACUGAGGUCGCAGGCACAGUUGACUGGAGCUCUGGGACCCUGAUCCUCUCUCUGGCUCAGGGAGUUCCUCUCAGGUUUGCAGGGCUCUGACCUUAUAGAUUUUGCUGCCUUUGAAAACAGCUCAAAUCCCAGCGGCCCCAGGGAAUGUCACGUCCCAGAUGCAGGCACAGCAUCCGUGGCUUGCCUUGAAUUCUGGCUGCCUGUUUAUGUCUUGGCUUUGCCCAAGUAGAUCAGUUAGUUAAAUUGAUGGGUUUGAGUGAUAGACUCAGGCUCUGGGCUGGGUUUGAAUCCUGUUAUCUCAGCUAUUGGCUGACCCCUUCGAGAUCAGUUAAGAAUGC
rnacentral:lncRNA from 1 species